rnacentral:rRNA from 1 species
CGCAGCCAGCUGCGAGAUUUGGUGUGAAUUGCAGGACACAUUGAGCACUGAUUUUUCGAACGCACAUUGCGGCCUCGGGUUCCGCCCGGGGCCUCGCCUGUCUGAGGGUCGGAUAAGACUUGCCAAGGUGGCUCUUGUCACCAAUUGUCCGCUUCGGAGACUCUCUCGAGUCUUCGUCGGAUUAAGUACUUAUAGGUUCCUUCCCUGGUCGAAAUAGCAAAGAUGCCCUUGCGGAUGCUCGUCGACCGAGAAGACCGAAGUGUCUUCUCAACGAGGACGAGACGGCAUCGUUGUUGAGAAGGCCAUAAUGGGGGAUGCGUUCCUACCAGACGUCGUUAGUUCGACCUGGAAACUUUGAAAAAGGAGUCCUAGACUCUUUUCUUUAACGACCUCAGAUCAGACGAGAUGACCCGCURAAUUUAAGCAUAUC